AGUGAACGCUGGCGGUAGGCCUAACACAUGCAAGUCGAACGGCAGCACAGGAGAGCUUGCUCUCCGGGUGGCGAGUGGCGGACGGGUGAGGAAUACAUCGGAAUCUACUCUGUCGUGGGGGAUAACGUAGGGAAACUUACGCUAAUACCGCAUACGACCUACGGGUGAAAGCAGGGGAUCUUCGGACCUUGCGCGAUUGAAUGAGCCGAUGUCGGAUUAGCUAGUUGGCGGGGUAAAGGCCCACAAAGGCGACGAUCCGUAGCUGGUCUGAGAGGAUGAUCAGCCACACUGGAACUGAGACACGGUCCAGACUCCUACGGGAGGCAGCAGUGGGGAAUAUUGGACAAUGGGCGCAAGCCUGAUCCAGCCAUACCGCGUGGGUGAAGAAGGCCUUCGGGUUGUAAAGCCCUUUUGUUGGGAAAGAAAUCCAGCUGGCUAAUACCCGGUUGGGAUGACGGUACCCAAAGAAUAAGCACCGGCUAACUUCGUGCCAGCAGCCGCAGUAA
rnacentral:rRNA from 1 species